CAUCCACAUGAAGCUCUCGAUCUGAUCGGCUCCUCACGAAUGCUAGUUCAUUGCAGAACCCUUUCAACGGCCAAUGCUGAUCGAACUCCUUCGAUCGAUGUCUGUCGAUUCCUCAGAUACUCUAGAUCAUCAACAAACAUGCUUGAGAGGUUGAUGAAGCUCUCCCUAAAGUUUGGUGGGCUCACGACACUCGUAACUCACCUUCUCACUUCCCGAACCCCA
rnacentral:lncRNA from 1 species